GGACUACCGGGGUUUCUAAUCCCUUUCGCUCCCCUAGCUUUCGUCCCUCAGCGUCAGUUGUGGCCCAGUAGAGCGCCUUCGCCACUGGUGUUCUUCCCGAUAUCUACGCAUUUCACCGCUACACCGGGAAUUCCCUCUACCCCUACCACACUCAAGUCUUUCAGUUUCCAUUGCCGAUCCACAGUUAAGCUGUGGGCUUUGACAACAGACUUAAAAAACCGCCUGCGGACGCUUUACGCCCAAUAAUUCCGGAUAACGCUUGCCUCCUCCGUCUUACCGCGGCUGCUGGCACG
rnacentral:misc_RNA from 1 species